UACGGAGGGUGCAAGCGUUAUCCGGAUUUACUGGGCUUAAAGGGUGUGUAGGCGGACUUUUAAGUCAGGGGUGAAAUCCCGAGGCUCAACCUCGGAACUGCCUUUGAUACUGUUGGUCUUGAAUGUUGUUGAGGUGGGCGGAACGGGUCAUGUAGCGGUGAAAUGCAUAGAUAUGACCCGGAACACCGAUUGCGAAGGCAGCCCGCUAAGCAACUAUUGACGCUGAGGCACGAAAGCGUGGGGAUCAAACAGG
rnacentral:rRNA from 1 species